AUUGAACGCUGGCGGCAGGCCUAACACAUGCAAGUCGAGCGGAUGAAGGGAGCUUGCUCCUGGAUUCAGCGGCGGACGGGUGAGUAAUGCCUAGGAAUCUGCCUGGUAGUGGGGGAUAACGUCCGGAAACGGGCGCUAAUACCGCAUACGUCCUGAGGGAGAAAGUGGGGGAUCUUCGGACCUCACGCUAUCAGAUGAGCCUAGGUCGGAUUAGCUAGUUGGUGGGGUAAAGGCCUACCAAGGCGACGAUCCGUAACUGGUCUGAGAGGAUGAUCAGUCACCUGGAAACGGAGACACGUCCCAGCCCCCGCCGGGGGGAGGCGGGGGGGAUUUUUGGAGAAGGGGCGAAAGCCUGACCCACCCAUGCGGGGUGUGGAAAGAAGUUCUGCGGUUUGAAAAGCAGUUUAAGUUGGGAGAAAGGGCAGUAAUUUAAUACCUUCUUUUUUUGACUUUACAAAAAAAAAAAGCCCCGCCUAACUUCGUC
rnacentral:rRNA from 1 species